rnacentral:rRNA from 1 species
UACGGGGGGGGCAAGCGUUGUUCGGAAUUACUGGGCGUAAAGCGCGCGUAGACGGUUUUGUAAGUCAGAUGUGAAAUCCCUGGGCUCAACCUGGGAACUGCAUUUGAGACUGCAUGGCUAGAGUAUCGAAGAGGGAAGUGGAAUUUCCGGUGUAGCGGUGAAAUGCGUAGAUAUCGGAAGGAACACCAGUGGCGAAAGCGACUUCCUGGUCGAAUACUGACGUUCAUGUGCGAAAGCGUGGGGAGCAAACAGG